UGGCUCAGGAUGAACGCUAGCGACAGGCCUAACACAUGCAAGUCGAGGGCAGCACAAGGAGCAAUCUGAGGUGGCGACCGGCGCACGGGUGAGUAACACGUAUGCAACCUGCCUGUAAGCGGGGAAUAACCCGUUGAAAGACGGACUAAUACCGCAUAAUACUAAAUUACUGCAUGGUAAUUUAUUUAAACAUUUAUGGCUUACAGAUGGGCAUGCGCAUGAUUAGCUAGUUGGAGAGGUAACGGCUCCCCAAGGCAACGAUCAUUAGGGGUUCUGAGAGGAAGGUCCCCCACACUGGUACUGAGACACGGACCAGACUCCUACGGGAGGCAGCAGUGAGGAAUAUUGGUCAAUGGACGAGAGUCUGAACCAGCCAAGUCGCGUGCAGGAAGAAUUGUCCUAUGGAUUGUAAACUGCUUUUGCAGGGGAAUAAAGUGCAUCACGUGUGAUGUUUUGUAUGUACUCUGCGAAUAAGGAUCGGCUAACUCCGUGCCAGCCGCCGC
rnacentral:rRNA from 1 species